AAGUCGUAACAAGGUUUCCGUAGGUGAACCUGCGGAAGGUGAACCAAUGUCGUGCUCUCGUAGCCCAAGAUGAACAGCAAUCCCCGGUAAAGCAAGGUGUUUCUGCAGUAUUUGAUUCAGGCACCUCUGCUUUGAAAGGAUAGUUACGAAUGUUGCGCUAGUUUCAGAGGCGUGGCUCGGCGAGCAAGUGUCAAAACCGAACAACUGUUAACAAUGGAUAUCUUGGUUCUC
rnacentral:misc_RNA from 1 species